rnacentral:rRNA from 1 species
GUGGAUUAGUGGCGAACGGGUGAGUAACACGUGGGCAAUCUGCCCUGCACUCUGGGACAAGCCCUGGAAACGGGGUCUAAUACCGGAUACUGACCAUCUUGGGCAUCCUUGAUGGUGGAAAGCUCCGGCGGUGCAGGAUGAGCCCGCGGCCUAUCAGCUAGUUGGUGAGGUAAUGGCUCACCAAGGCGACGACGGGUAGCCGGCCUGAGAGGGCGACCGGCCACACUGGGACUGAGACACGGCCCAGACUCCUACGGGAGGCAGCAGUGGGGAAUAUUGCACAAUGGGCGAAAGCCUGAUGCAGCGACGCCGCGUGAGGGAUGACGGCCUUCGGGUUGUAAACCUCUUUCAGCAGGGAAGAAGCGAAAGUGACGGUACCUGCAGAAGAAGCGCCGGCUAACUACGUGCCAGCAGCCGCGGUAAUACGUAGGGCGCGAGCGUUGUCCGGAAUUAUUGGGCGUAAAGAGCUCGUAGGCGGCUUGUCACGUCGGUUGUGAAAGCCCGGGGCUUAACCCCGGGUCUGCAGUCGAUACGGGCAGGCUAGAGUUCGGUAGGGGAGAUCGGAAUUCCUGGUGUAGCGGUGAAAUGCGCAGAUAUCAGGAGGAACACCGGUGGCGAAGGCGGAUCUCUGGGCCGAUACUGACGCUGAGGAG